rnacentral:rRNA from 1 species
UACAGAGGGUGCAAGCGUUAAUCGGAAUUACUGGGCGUAAAGCGUGCGUAGACGGUUAUGUAAGUCAGAUGUGAAAGCCCCGGGCUCAACCUGGGAAUUGCAUUUGAGACUGCAUAGCUAGGGUGCGGAAGAGGGAAGCGGAAUUUCCGGUGUAGCGGUGAAAUGCGUAGAUAUCGGAAGGAACACCAGUGGCGAAAGCGGCUUCCUGGUCCAGCACCGACGUUCAGGCACGAAAGCGUGGGGAGCAACAGG